rnacentral:rRNA from 1 species
AUUGAACGCUGGCGGCAUGCCCUACACAUGCAAGUCGAACGGUAACAGGUCUUCGGCUGCUGACUAGUGGCGAACGGUUGCGUAAUACAUCGGAACGUGCCCAGACGUGGGGGAUAACGAGGCGAAAGCUUUGCUAAUACCCCCUACGAUCUAAGGAUGAAUGCAGGUGACCGCAAGGCCUUGCGCGUUUUUAGCGGCCGAUGUCAGAUUAGGUAGUUGGUGGGAUAAAAGCUUACCAAGCCGACGAUCUGUAGCUGGUCUGAGAGGACGACCAGCCACACUGGGACUGAGACACGGCCCAGACUCCUACGGGAGGCAGCAGUGGGGAAUUUUGGACAAUGGGCGAAAGCCUGAUCCAGCAAUGCCGCGUGCAGGAUGAAGGCCUUCGGGUUGUAAACUGCUUUUGUACGGAACGAAAAGGCUCUGGCUAAUACCUGGGGCACAUGACGGUACCGUAAGAAUAAGCACCGGCUAACUACGUG